rnacentral:rRNA from 1 species
GAGUUUGAUCCUGGCUCAGGACGAACGCUGGCGGCGCGCCUAACACAUGCAAGUCGAACGGAGUCAAGAGGAGCUUGCUUUUCUUGACUUAGUGGCGAACGGGUGAGUAACGCGUGAGUAACCUGCCCUGGAGUGGGGGACAACAGUUGGAAACGACUGCUAAUACCGCAUAAGCCCACGAUCCGGCAUCGGAUUGAGGGAAAAGGAUUUAUUCGCUUCAGGAUGGACUCGCGUCCAAUUAGCUAGUUGGUGAGGUAACGGCCCACCAAGGCGACGAUUGGUAGCCGGACUGAGAGGUUGAACGGCCACAUUGGGACUGAGACACGGCCCAGACUCCUACGGGAGGCAGCAGUGGGGGAUAUUGCACAAUGGGGGAAACCCUGAUGCAGCGACGCCGCGUGGAGGAAGAAGGUUUUCGGAUUGUAAACUCCUGUCGUUAGGGACGAUAAUGACGGUACCUAACAAGAAAGCACCGGCUAACUACGUGCCAGCCGCCGCGGUAAUUC